rnacentral:rRNA from 1 species
GGACCCGCACAAGCGGUGGAGCAUGUGGUUUAAUUCGAUGCAACGCGAAAAACCUUACCUACUCUUGACAUACUUGGGAGCUCUUGUAAUGAGAGUGUGCCUUAUGGAACCAAGAUACAGGUGCUGCAUGGCUGUCGUCAGCUCGUGUCGUGAGAUGUUCCGUUAAGUCGGAUAACGAGCGCAACCCUUACCCUUAUUUGCCAGCGGUUCGGCCGGGAACUAUAAGGGGACUGCCGGUGAUAAACCGGAGGAAGGUGAGGACGACGUCAAGUCAUCAUGGCCCUUACGAGUAGGGCUACACACGUGCUACAAUGGGAAGUACAGAGGGACGCAAACCCGUGAGGGGGAGCC